CCAAGGAAGGCAGCAGGCGCGCAAAUUACCCACUCCCAGCUCGGGGAGGUAGUGACGAAAAAUAACGAUACGGGACUCAUCCGAGGCCCCGUAAUCGGAAUGAGUACACUCUAAACCCUUUAACGAGGAUCAAUUGGAGGGCAAGUCUGGUGCCAGCAGCCGCGGUAAUUCCAGCUCCAAUAGCGUAUAUUAAAGUUGUUGCGGUUAAAAAGCUCGUAGUCGAAUUUGUGUCUCGCGCCGUCCGGUUCAUCGUUCGCGGUGUCAACUGGCGUGUCGCGAGACGUCCUGCCGGCGGGUCGUUCGCAAGAGCGGCCCAACUGACCCCGCCGCGGUGCUCUUCAUUGAGUGUCGAGGUGGGCCGGCACGUUUACUUUGAACAAACUAAGGUGCUUAAAGCAGGCUGAAAUUUUGCCAGAAUAUUUUAUGCAUGGAAUAAUGAAACAGGACCUCGAUUCUAUUUUGUUGGUUUUCUGAACCUCGAGGUAAUGAUUAACAGGAACGGAUGGGGGCAUUCGUAUUGCGACGUUAGAGGUGAAAUUCUUGGAUCGUCGCAAGACGGACAGAAGCGAAAGCAUUUGCCAAAAACGUUUUCAUUGAUCAAGAACGAAAGUUAGAGGUUCGAAGGCGAUCAGAUACCGCCCUAGUUCUAACCAUAAACUAUGCCAGCUAGCGAUCCGCCGACGUUCCUCCGAUGACUCGGCGGGCAGCUUCCGGGAAACCAAAGCUUUUGGGUUCCGGGGGAAGUAUGGUUGCAAAGCUGAAACUUAAAGGAAUUGACGGAAGGGCACCACCAGGAGUGGAGCCUGCGGCUUAAUUUGACUCAACACGGGAAACCUCACCAGGCCCGGACACCGGAAGGAUUGACAGAUUGAGAGCUCUUUCUUGAUUCGGUGGGUGGUGGUGCAUGGCCGUUCUUAGUUGGUGGAGCGAUUUGUCUGGUUAAUUCCGAUAACGAAC
rnacentral:rRNA from 1 species